AUUGAACGCUGGCGGCAGGCUUAACACAUGCAAGUCGAGCGGGGGAAGGUAGCUUGCUACCGGACCUAGCGGCGGACGGGUGAGUAAUGCUUAGGAAUCUGCCUAUUAGUGGGGGACAACAUCUCGAAAGGGAUGCUAAUACCGCAUACGUCCUACGGGAGAAAGCAGGGGAUCUUCGGACCUUGCGCUAAUAGAUGAGCCUAAGUCGGAUUAGCUAGAUGGUGGGGUAAAGGCCUACCAAGGCGACGAUCUGUAGCGGGUCUGAGAGGAGGAUCCGCCACACUGGGACUAAGACACGGCCCAGAGUCCUACGGGAGGCAGCAGUGGGGAAUAUUGGACAAUGGGGGGAACCCUGAUCCAGCCAUGCCGCGUGUGUGAAGAAGGCCUUAUGGUUGUAAAGCACUUUAAGCGAGGAGGAGGCUACUUUAGUUAAUACCUAGAGAUAGUGGACGUUACUCGCAGAAUAAGCACCGGCUAACUCUGUGCCAGCCGCCGCGGUAAGAC
rnacentral:rRNA from 1 species